CUCCCCAUUGUGGGACAUGUGAUAGUGAUACGAUAGGAUAUGAUAUGAAGUGAUAUGGGUCACUUCCAACAUGUCUAUGGGCCUCGCUUUAGGGAAGCGGCACAUCACUGGGCUCUAAAUGAGCAGGGUCUAGGCUUGCACACUUGGACCUUGCACUUUCUCUGAAGAGCCAAUAAGUAAGUACGUGAUACUUUGAAAAUCAUAGAAUUAUGGUAGAGAGUGGCUGUUUACCAGACUCAUUUCCUUUUCUUCCUAGGCAUGGAGUGAGACUACCUUACCCACCUGUCUUGCAGUGAAUAGUGCAGACUAGCAUGGUGGCCUUGGAAGCCACAUGCUGAAAAUGUGAAGCCGCAAGAUGGAAGGAGCCUGGAUCUGGAAAACCCAAUCAACUAAAAACACUGUCUUGGACAUUGUGUAAAUCCAAAUACAAAAACUUCUAUUUUGUUCUAUUCAUUAUAUAUAUUCUGUUACAGCAACUAUUAUUACCUUCAAUUUCUAGGGAAUUAAUAAAUCAGAACCAAUUCUUUGCUUAAAAAAGGA